CCAUAUUUGCUAUCCAUGUCCAUUUCUAUCAACCAAUCAAAAAUAAGAAUUUGAAUUAACUAAAUAUUAAUGAAAAAAAAAAUAUCUCUCUUGCCAUCUGUUUGUUGACAACUAGAAAAAGAGAGGAUUUUGGGGUAGUACCUACUGCCCACGUGUCAUCUCUCAAAUGGCCAUAAAGAAAAAGAAUAAAAAAGGGCCAGCUCUCUCCUCCAACGGUAAUAAAAAUAAGGAAAAGGAAAAAAACGAAGAAAAGGGGAAUUAAAAAAGGGCACCCUCAGAUUCGAUGGAGGGCCUCUCUCUCACACGUUGAAACGUCUCUCUGCUCACUAAAAAACAAAACAAAAGAAAUCGUUUUUCUUUCCACAAAAAAUCCCACAAACCACUUCAUCUUCUCCACCUACUUCACUUCCACGUCCGCCCUACCCUCUCAACCUUACCGCGCCGCUGACAAUUUCCGGCGAAAACUUCCACUUCCACCAAUCACAAACCCCAACAAUCUCCGGCCAAACCGCGCCGACGUCUGAAUAAGAAGUCUUCAUCAACCCCAAAACCAUUAGCGAACUCCCUCCGCUUUACCGCACUACACGCUGGCAAACCCUUGACCUCCUUCACCAACCUCUCAACCGGAAAACGAAACAUAAAUAACCAAAUAGCGUCGCCGCUCACCAUAUAAUCCCCACGUCGUGACAACCUCCUUCCCACAACAACCGACCCCCCUAAACGCAACCUUUGUUCUUCCCCUCUCAACCCAAUCGUCGCCGAUGUAGACCCUCAUUUCCGCCGCCGCUAACACCACCAUUAAAUUACUCAUCGUCUUCUUCCCGUUCUUACCCCCGGUCCAAGAUCUGUGACUCAACUCUCACGAUUAGAACGACCGGCGGUCGAUCUUGCUUCCGAGGCGUGCAAAUAGGAAUGGAGUGUUUGAACGUGGCGAGAGCGAAAAGUUUUUUUACGGUUUCAAUAAGAGCACGCUAAAAAAAUUAGUACCAACCAAGAAGAUUUCAGCAAUAGUAUUGACGAGGUGUCGGUAAAUAUCAAGUCAUUCCUCUUCAACUCUGUUUACAUCAUGUUCGUUGUUUCAAUUUUCGUUUCGGUUUGGAUUCAAGUUAUAUUUGGUUGUUGUAUGAGUUGUAUGGUAUAAGUAAAUUCCUGUCAGUUUUCGUAUGGUGUUUGGUUGUUUAUGUUGUAGUUAAUUUAAGCAUAUAGUUAAUUUAAGCGUAUUAAGUUGAUGUUGUAGGGUCAUGAUUUAUAAUCUGGAUUUAAUAAAAUAAUUUGGUGGUUCAUGUUUAAGUUAAGCAAAGAAGUUAUCAGAUUGUCGAAAGAUAAUUUCGAGUUUGUUUUUGUGAUAUCGGCCAUUUUCUUUUGUUUAGUUUAAUGUCGUUGGAAAAAUAUAACAAUGUGAACUGUGUAAUAAAUUGUUGCUAGACAUUUGCUUGCAUCGCGUUUUUGAAAGGAAGCUGCAAUAAGGUAUCGGAUUCAUGAUGAGACAUGAUGUAAGUGUUCAUGUGUGUAGUGUCAAAAGUUUUUUUUCCCUAUGGUUUUGCCAUACUGAAAAGUGUAUAUCUAUUACUAUUUUUCUGAAUAAGAUUUUGUUUACAUUAUUUGCUCUAUCACUAGUCAUUCUUAAGUGUUGGGUUAAAUUAGUGUUAUUUGGUUUAGGCCCAUUUAGUUCGUGUUGUUGGAACCCCC
rnacentral:lncRNA from 1 species